AUUGAACGCUGGCGGCAUGCUUUACACAUGCAAGUCGAACGGUAACAGGCCGCAAGGGGCUGACGAGUGGCGAACGGUUGAGGAAUGCAGCGGAACGUGCCCAGUCGUGGGGGAUAACGCAGAGAAAGCUGCGCUAAUACCGCAUACGAUCUAUGGAUGAAAGCGGGGGACCGUAAGGCCUGGCGCCAUCGGAGCGGCCGAUGUCAGAUUAUGUAGUCGGGGGGGUAAAGGCUCACCAAGCCAACGAUCAGUAGCUGGUCUGAGAGGACGACCAGCCACACUGGGACGGAGACACGGCCCAGACUCCGACGGGAGGCAGCAGUGGGGAAUUUUGGACAAUGGGCGCAAGCCUGAUCCAGCAAUGCCGCGUGCAGGAAGAAGGCCUUCGGGUUGUAAACUGCUUUUGUACGGAACGAAACGGUCCUGGUUAAUACCUGGGGCUAAUGACGGUACCGUAAGAAUAAGCACCGGCUAUCUACGUGCCAGCCGCCGCGGUAAUAC
rnacentral:rRNA from 1 species